AAAACGUUACUCAUACGCAUUACAUGGAUGCCUCGACUCUGUACUCCGAAGAAGGACGUGGCCAGCUGCGAUAAGCCUCGGUAAGCCGCUAGGCAGGCGCUAUAGCCGGGGAUUUCCGAAUGAGGAAACUCCAUCUCCGUUAUGGGAGAUGACCCUGAACCGUAAGGUACAGGGAGGUUACUCUGACAACUGAAACAUCUCAGUAGCAGAGGAAAAGAAAUCAAUAGAGAUUCCCAAAGUAGUGGCGAGCGAAAUGGGAACAGGCCAAACCCCACUGUUUUAUUGGUGGGGGGUUGUAGGGCCCCAAUAUCCGAUUGUUUCUGCAUAGACGAACGACCCUGGAACGGGCGGCCAAAGUGGGUGAGAGCCCCGUAGCCGAAAUGUAGAAACACGGUAGGGUGUCCCUGAGUAGGGUCGGACACGUGAAAUCCGGCCUGAAUCUGGGUGGACCACUACCCAAGCCUAAACAGGUACAGAGAUCUAUAGUGAAUAGUACCGCGAGGGAACGGUGAAAAGUACCCCGGAAGGGGGAUGAAAUAGACCCUGAAAUGUAUUGCGUUCAAGGAGUGGGAGCCCUGCACUUGUUGCGGGGUGACCGCGUGCCUUUUGCAUAAUGAGCCAACGAGUUAGUUGUCAGUGGCUGGUUAAGGCAGAGUUAGCCGGAGCCAGAGCGAAAGCGAGUCUUAAAUAAGGCGUACAUAGUCGCUGGCACUAGACCCGAAACCGGGUGAGCUACCCAUGGGCAGGGUGAAGGGCGUCGGAAGACGUCUGGAGGCCCGAACCAUUAAGUGUCACAAGACUUAGGGAUGACCUGUGGGUAGGGGUGAAAAGCCUAUCGAACCCGGAGAUAGCUGGUUCUCCUCGAAAUGCCUUUAGGGGCAGCCUCGUCUCGCAAGAUGGGGGGUAGAGCUACUGUUUGGAUGCGGGGGUCACCUCGACCUGCCAAAUCCUGGCAAACUCCGAAUACCCAUCCUUAGGAGACGGGAGUGAGACGGUGACGGCAAAGCGCCAUCGUCGAAAGGGAAAGAGCCCAGAUCAUUUGCUAAGGUCCCAAAUGUCCGUUCAGUGUAGAAGGAGGUGUAGAUGCAUGGACAACCAGGAGGUUGGCUUAGAAGCAGCCAUCCUUUAAAGAAAGCGUAACAGCUCACUGGUCUAUUGCAUUUAUGCGCCGAAAAUUCAACGGGGCAAAACGGACAACCGAAGCAGUGAAUGUGUGGGGUCACUUUUGGAUUCUGUGGAGCUGGGAUUUAUUGUCCUUGUUCCUUUGGAGCUUAUUAGGUUUAUAGCUUCAUUAGCUGCGUUAGAAAGGGAAACAAGGGAUCAUAUCUAAAAAAACCAGAUCCCUAAUCAGCUAAUGAAGCUAACAAGCUAAAAGCUUCUCAAGGACUGGAAAUAUAUCUCUUAGGAUUCCCGAAGCCAGAAGCGACCCCAUACAUUGUAGAGGAGCGUUCCGUUCAGCAGUGAAGCUUCGUCGCGAGACGGGGUGGAGCGGACGGAAGUGAGAAUGUUGGCAUGAGUAACUACUAGGCAGGUGAAAACCCUGCCCGCCGAAUCCCCAAGGUUUCCCACGUAACGGCAAUCGGCGUGGGGUUAGUCGGGCCUAAGGUGAGGCCGAAAGGCGUAACCGAUGGACAACAGGUAAAUAUUCCUGUACCUCAUAAAAAUCGCCCAAGAGUACCACCCAAGAGUCUUAAGAGCCUCUGUAUCCCACUUCGGUGGGGUGCAUGUUCUCCAGAAAGGCGAGUGGUACGCUAGAAGCGGCGUAACGGAGCGGGAGCACCAGAGCGUGUGUAUUGACUGCACGUGGAACACGUGAAGCGUUGAUCCUGACAGGCAAAUCCGUCAGGAGAGCUGAGCGUGGAUCCCAAAUGUCCGCCUUUGGCGGAUAAGUCUGGCUGGUUCUGUUUCCAAGAAAACCGUCGCUUCGAGAGUUUUGUGAGACCGUACCGCAAACCAACACCGGUGGGGUGGUCGAGUAGACCAAGGCGAACGAGUAAUUACGCGUUAAGGAACUCGGCAAAACAGCGUCCGUAACUUCGGGAUAAGGACUGACCCUGUACCUUCUGGUACAGGGCCCGCAGCAAAAGAGCUCAGGCGACUGUUUACCAAAAACACAGGUCCCUGCAAAGUCGCAAGACAACGUAUAGGGGCUGAUGCCUGCCCAGUGUCAGAAGGUCACGUGAGAGGGUGUAUGCCCUUGAUCUAAGCCCUGAUGAACGGCGGCCGUAACUAUAACGGUCCUAAGGUAGCGAAAUUCCUUGUCGGGUGGUCGAUAAGCAACUUGCCCGAAUCCCGCGUAAGCGGGAGCACUGGGGAAUUCCGUGAAUGGCAUAUUCAGUGCAAAACGUGGCUAUAUGCUGGAACAUCCGGGUAUGGAGCACUACGUACUAAUUAAAAUGGAAAAUUAGUAUGUGAGAAUGUGACUUCUGCGGACAAUCAGCAGGAAACCUUAAGUAAGAGGGAUCCUCAGAGACUAUACGCCAUGCUCCCACAGAGCUCACUUGAGUAAAGUGGGAUGAUGAUAGAGUCCGAUCCCCAUGGCGACAUGGGGUGUAGAGAAAUCGUUCUAUGGCUAAAAAACGAACGUGGAACGGGGGAUCUUAUCCAAAUCAGAUGAUGCGCGAAGACAGGCUCUGCCUGUCUGGAGCGCCACCACUGAAGGGAAAAGAGAGCCCGUGAGAGAAAAUAAGCCUGUCCUGAGCUUGUCGAAGGAUAGGUUUGUCUCUCACGAAAUUGAAGUUCCGACCCGCACGAAUGGUACAACGGUCUGAGCACUGUCUCGACGCGGAGCUCGGUGAAAUUGCAAUCCCGGUGCAAAUGCCGGGUAGACUACGGAAGGACGAAAAGACCCUAUGAAGCUUUACUAUAGGCUGACAUUGUAUUGUCGGUUUGCAUAUGCAGGAUAGGUGGGAGGCUUUGAAGCGGGGGCGCUAGCCCUCGUGGAGCCACCCUUGAGAUACCACCUCUGCGUUCUGGCAGUACUCACCUCGUCUCUGAAACAGAGCGGGGGACAGUGUUUGCUGGGUAGUUUAACUGGGGCGGUUGCCUCCUAAAAUGUAACGGAGGCGCGCAAUGGUCCACUAGCGCCGGAUGGAAAUCGGCGUCGUCGUGUAAUCGCACAAGUGGGCCUGACUGUGAGGCUUACAGGCCGAGCAGAGACGAAAGUCGGUGAUAGUGAUCCGGCACCUUGACACUAAUUUAUUGGUGUCGUUCCACGUGGGUGGGGUGUCGCUCAACGGAUAAAAGUUACUCUAGGGAUAACAGGCUGAUCGCUCCCAAGCGCCCACAGCGACGGAGCGGUUUGGCACCUCAAUCGGGGUGCUGCAGGAGUGAUCCUGUACCAAAAAUUCGGCUUAUAACGGUGGAACCGUCACGGGCAUUGUGAAAAUGCGUGCCCGCCGGUAAUACCGUGGGAAGUCCCUCGCACAUGCGGGGUGACCCCGUAACGACUGACCCGAAAGGGGAGAGUCCUUAUUACAUUAAGGGCUAACACGCCGAUUCCUGCUCCAUUAAAUCAGGUUUUGGUUGUAAAACUUACAACCUACGAUCGAUUGCAGGAAAAAGAUAUAGUCUGCACCAUAUGAAAGUAUGGAUGAAGUACGAUGUCGGCUCAUCGCAUCCUGGGGCUGAAGAAGGUCCCAAGGGUUUGGCUGUUCGCCAAUCAAAGCGGUACGCGAGCUGGGUUCAGAACGUCGUGAGACAGUUUGGCCUCUAUCCUCCGUGGUCAUUUAGAAACGUGAAGGAAGCUGCUCCUAGUACGAGAGGACCGGAGUGGACGAACCUCUGGUGUACCUGUUGUCGCGUCAGCGGCAAAGCAGGAUAGCUAUGUUCGGCAAGGAUAACCGCUGAAGGCAUCUAAGCGGGAAGCCCCUCCUGAGAUAGCGUUUCUCCAUAAGCCCGCCGGAAGACGACCGGUUAGAUCGGCCACAGGUGUACGCACGGUAACGUGUUAAGCUGAGUGGUACGAACGGGCGAUUGAACGUUUUUU
rfam:Peregrinibacteria bacterium GW2011_GWC2_54_8 TY87_C0011, whole genome shotgun sequence.